rnacentral:rRNA from 1 species
GACGAACGCUGGCGGCGUGCUUAACACAUGCAAGUCGAGCGGAGCGGCGAACGGGUGAGUAACGCGUGAGUAACUGCCCCCCUCUCUGGGUUAACAGUUGGAAACGGCUGCUAAUACCGGAUAGUGGGGGAUGACUCGCGUCCAAUCAGCUUGUUGGUGGGGUAGUGGCCUACCCAGGCGACGACGGGUGGCCGGCCUGAGAGGGCGACCGGCCAGAUGGGGCUGAGAUACGGCCCAAACUCCGACGGGAAGCAGCAGGAGGGAAUAUUGCACAAUGGGGGAAACCCGGAUGCAGCAACGCGCGUGGGGGAUGACGGCCUGCAGGUUGUAAACCGCUUGCAUCCAUGACUCGGUAGUGGCAGAAGAAGCACGGGCUAACUACGUGCCAGCAGCCGCGGUAAUAC